AGUCUUUUGUGGUUUUAUAAAAGAUGGUUUCUGCUCAGUGAUUGUUAAAUAGCCGCGGUAAUUUGACUGUGCAAAGGUAGCAUAAUAAUUUGCUCUAUAAUUGAGGGCUGGAAUGAAUGGAAUUUCAAGAUCUCUUCUUUAUUGGAGAAAGGAAAAUAAUUUGUUUUUUUAGUGAAGAGACUUAAAUUGUUUUAGGGGACAAGAAGACCCUUUUGAGCUUUAUUAAAAUUUUGUUUUUUUAACUUUUUUUAGUUUGGUUGGGGCGACCGAGGAAGAGUUGUGGAUCUUCCUUUUUUACUUUGAUCCGAUGGUUUCGAUUGAUGGAGUAAGUUACCAAAGGGAUAACAGCGUAAUUUUUUUUGUGAGUUCUUAUUAAAAAAGAAGAUUGCGACCUCGAUGUUGACUUAUGAAUACCUUUUGGUGUAGCCGCUAGUAAAAGGUGGGUCUGUUCGACCUUUAAAAUUUUACGUGAGUUGAGUUCAGACCGGCGUGA
rnacentral:rRNA from 1 species